UACGGAGGGUGCAAGCGUUAUCCGGAUUCACUGGGCUUAAAGGGUGCGUAGGCGGGCAGGUAAGUCCGUGGUGAAAUCCCCGAGCUUAACUCGGGAACUGCCAUGGAUACUAUUUGUCUUGAAUAUUGUGGAGGUAAGCGGAAUAUGUCAUGUAGCGGUGAAAUGCUUAGAUAUGACAUAGAACACCAAUUGCGAAGGCAGCUUACUACACAGUUAUUGACGCUGAGGCACGAAAGCGUGGGGAUCAAACAGG
rnacentral:rRNA from 1 species